CAGUUUGUCAAAAAAAUAUCUCUCCCAAUUGAAACACAAAUCCAUCCAGAUCUCUUCCUCUUGAUUAUCUCUCUCCUCCCCAAUGAAAAACAAAUCGAUCUUCUCUCUCAAACAGAAGGUUUACGAUUGCAUCGACCAUCACUUUUCCUUUGGAUUCCGAUUCAAGUUUUUUUCUAUUGUGCCUUCUCAAAGUUUUGUACUCUCCACGGGUUGGAUCCUAGAUUUUCUCAAGUUCGUCAUGGAGAUCAGGUGUACAAUUGAAUCAACUGUGGCUUUCCCUUUGGAUUUGGAUUCAAUUUUUUGUCUACCGUGUCCUCUGAUAGUUUUGUGCUCUCUACGGAUUGGAUCACUUUUCUUCUCGCAGACAAUUUUGCGAUGACUCAUGGAGAUCAGUUUGAAGCGCACCAACUAUCCCCAUGUGCUCAAGAUUCUGCCACCCUGUGCCAAGGUUGUCUCUGGUCUGUUGAUAUGGUUGUUCGGUUGGUUAGAUCAUACAUGUUGCUUACAUAGUGCAGAUUCAAUGACUGAUGAUAAGGUUUAAUCUAUUUUUUCAAAUUAAAGCCAUGGAUUUGCCAGC